AGUGAACGCUGGCGGUAGGCCUAACACAUGCAAGUCGAACGGCAGCACCGUAAGAGCUUGCUCUUACGGGUGGCGAGUGGCGGACGGGUGAGGAAUACAUCGGAAUCUACUUUUUCGUGGGGGAUAACGUAGGGAAACUUACGCUCAUACCGCAUACGACCUACGGGUGAAAGCAGGGGAUCUUCGGACCUUGCGCGAUUGAAUGAGCCGAUGUCGGAUUAGCUAGUUGGCGGGGUAAUGGCCCACCAAGGCGACGAUCCGUAGCUGGUCUGAGAGGAUGAUAAGCCGCGCUGGAACGGAGACGCGGACCAGACGCCUGCGGGAGGCAGCAGUGGGGAAUAUGAGACAAUGGGCGCAAGCCUGAUCCAGCCAUACCGCGUGGGUGAAGAAGACCUUCGGGUUGUAAAGCCCUUUUGUUGGGAAAGAAAAGCAGCAGGUUAAGACCCCGCUGUUCUGACGGUACCCAAAGAAUAAGCACCGGCUAACUUCGUG
rnacentral:rRNA from 1 species